rnacentral:rRNA from 1 species
AUUGAACGCUGGCGGCAGGCCUAACACAUGCAAGUCGAGCGAGCGGCGGUCGGGUGAGUAAUGUCUUGGAAACUGCCUGAUUGAGGGGGAUAACUACUGGAAACGGUAGCUAAUACCGCAUACCAUCAGAUGUGCCCAGAUGGGACUAGCUAGUUGGUGGGGUACUGGAUCACCGAGGCGACGAUCCCUAGCUGGUCUGAGAGGAUGACCAGCAACACUGGAACUGAGACACGGUCCAGACUCCUACGGGAGGCAGCAGUGGGGAAUAUUGCACAAGGGGCGCAAGCCUGAUGCAGCCAUGCCGCGUGUGUGAAGAAGGCCUUCGGGUUGUAAAGCACUUUCAGCGGGGAGGCGUUACCCGCAGAAGAAGCACCGGCUAACUCCGUGCCAGCAGCCGCGGUAAUAC